UACAACCAUAUCACGUUGAAACACCGGUUCACGUACGAUCAAUGAAAUUAAGCAACGUCAAGCCUGGUCAGUACCUAGAUGGGUGACCUCUUAGGAAUGCCAGUUGCUGUAA